GGUCCUGUGGCCGAGCGGUUAGGCAGAGCUCUGCAAAAGCUUCCACACCAGUUCGAUUCUGGUCGGGACCU
rnacentral:tRNA from 1 species